rnacentral:rRNA from 1 species
AUUGAACGCUGGCGGCAUGCUUUACACAUGCAAGUCGAACGGCAGCGCGGGCUUCGGCCUGGCGGCGAGUGGCGAACGGGUGAGUAAUGCAUCGGAACGUGCCCAGUAGUGGGGGAUAGCCCGGCGAAAGCCGGAUUAAUACCGCAUACGACCUGAGGGUGAAAGCGGGGGACCGAAAGGCCUCGCGCUAUUGGAGCGGCCGAUGUCGGAUUAGCUAGUUGGUGGGGUAAAGGCUUACCAAGGCGACGAUCCGUAGCUGGUCUGAGAGGACGACCAGCCACACUGGGACUGAGACACGGCCCAGACUCCUGCGGGAGGCAGCAGUGGGGAAUUUUGGACAAAGGGGGCAACCCUGAUCCAGCCAUGCCGCGUGCGGGAAGAAGGCCUUCGGGUUGUAAACCGCUUUUGUUCGGGAAGAAAGCCUCUGGGCUAAUACCCCGGGGGGAUGACGGUACCGGAAGAAUAAGCACCGGCUAACUACGUG